AGCAGGACUCCUGUCACUUCCCUUGUCUCUUAAAAACCUCGAAGGGUCCUGUUCUCCCCAGAGUUGCAUUUGAGGGUCUCAUGUCGCUCUCCAAGCCUCUGCCCAGCCUCCGGCCUUUCUGCUCUGGUCUCUUACCUUGCUCCUGACACACAGGCUGCUGGUGAUUCCGUAAAUCUGCUGUGCGCUUGCCUGAACUGACUUUCCUUAGAUGAUCUGCCGGCCUUCUCCUCUCUCCCCAAUCUUAUCUCAAAUAUCUUUCUUUUCCCCAGUGAGAUCUUUUCUGGCUGCUGCUUUCCCUCUCUCCCUAGAUUUAUUUUUCUUCCUAGAAUCAAUUACCACCUGAUGUGCUGCAUGUUUAUUUCUGAAAGAGUUUUGGCCCAGACAGGACACUGUAGCUGGUAAAGCCUCAGGCGGAACCAAGGUCCUCCCAUUUCCCCCACCCCUAGGAAUUUACCUCUGGCACCAAAAAAAUACCAAUGGGCUACCUGUGCAUCACUAAUGCCCCCUCAGGCUCCACCCCAAACCUAAGCUACAUAUAUGCCUCCACUGCACGUGUUCCACAGAGAGAUCGCCAACCCUGGUGGGCGGGGGGAGAUACUGCGUCCUAGGGGAUCGGGGGUGUCUCUCCCUGCAUUCUCAAAAUAAAGGUCAUUUAUAUUUCAUACUUCUUAUCUUUUCAGCCACCGCUGGUCCCCCACAGUUCUAUCAUAUGGUUCCCUGACUGGGAACGGCAGACGAGAGGUUCCUGGGGCUUUCUCAGUUUGAGUCCCCUGCUGUUCAGGACCAGGACCGGACUGCAUCCUGCAUUAAUUCCUCACUUCUACACUCAGGAGCUGUAAACUUGUCGCUGCCGGUUCACAAACAACACUGACCCAAUUUACCACAGGACACAGCCCUCCAGCGAUGCCACUGAAUGUUUUCAUUAAGUGGGAGGUGCGAGGAGAGGAGGCAAGAAUGCGGAGACCGCUUCGGAGAGGAUUUUGAACAGUAGUCCUCCAGCUGAGGACCCUGCUCCACUGGGUGCAGUGCUCCCCUUUCCACGCCGUCAGACUCGGCGCUGGGAGGGCCGCUUCAGCCCUGGCAUGAAGCCGCCAGUUUUUCCACUCUCUCUCCCAGAAAAGAUCAGGAAGUGCAAGAAGGUUCAUGAAAACUUAAGCUUGAAGUUUAGCAAACUCAAAACAACCCAAAGCCUCAAACGUUGGGUUUGGUUUGAAUCUUGGACAAAGGUUUGCUCUGCAGCUCCUGGCGCCAGUCCCACUUGGGGGCUGGAGCAACUUUGCUUCGGGGCUGGUGACGGGGAAAUUGUGCAACUAGAACUUGGAUCUCAUUUUCACAAAACCAAGAAACAAAAACACUGACAGGGGAAUCUGCACGGGAAGGGGCCGCCUAACCCCGACCGCUGCUGUUUCACUGUGGCAGCUCCUCUCACCAUGGGAAUUAGAAGACCGCCUUUCCUGCUGCAGCCCGCAUCCAGUUUACAAGCCGCACCCUCUCCUGCCACAGUGCAGAAGGUGAUCAAAUCCAAGAGCUGAGGCCCCUCAGACUGACCUCCCGUGUGGUCAGCUGGCAUUUCCAGAGCCAGCCCAGGACAGUACGGGUCGCCCCUUACCCAGCCAACUUCAGAAACAAAUUUUCUGCUUCAAAGACAGCCCAGUAAUUUAGGUCCUGUCGCCCUUGGAUGCAAUUUCUUUGUUCCACGGAUAAAACUUCAGCCUAAUGACUGUUUAUUGAGCAGCUUCAUUAUAUCAGCACAGAGGAAUAUAUUUCAAGCAGAGGCACACAACAUUAAAAACAUCCUCAAAGAUCUUAUAGGUCAGCAAUAAACAACAAUGGAGACAUCUUAGAACAACAAAAGCAAAAAAGCAUUCGCUUGGAAAUAAUUUCAAAUACUUCAGUUGAUUUCUAAAUAAGCCCAAUAGAGAAUCUCAUCUCUUAUACAACUGAUCACUUAUCAAGUAUUGCAGAGCAGAAUGACACCUUGCAAGCAGGCAGUCGUGAGUUUGAUCCCCGGUACCGAUAAAAAGGAAAAAGACAAAAAAAAAAAAAAAAAAAUAGACGCCUGCUGAAGCAGCAAAGCAUGAAAACUCAAAGAAUUUUAGCUCGGUGAGCACCAGUCAUCCCUGCACGCAGGAGGCUGAGGCAGGAGGAUCGCCCACGUUUGAGGCAGCAGAGUGAGUCCAGACAUAGUGAGACACUGUCUCACAGGAAGAUGAAGAAACACUGAAAGACUGGAGACUGAUUUGGGGUCUCAGAGCAUGCAGAGAUCCUGAGAACUUAAGUGAGGUCGGUUCACCUGGAAACUGAUUUGCCAGAUGUUAGAAAUGAAUACACUGACAAAUUUCCAGUUAGUACACAGCGUAAGUAUUGUCCCAAAGGCUCUAUAUUCUUCUCAGUUUAGCUGGUUCUUUUAACUGUGACUGUGAUUACUGAUUUUAAUCUGACUGCUCCAAACAUAUGCCACCUUCCUAAGUAACUGCUUCUCUCAUGUGGAAUCAUGUUACAGUGAAAUUGAACUACUUCACAUGAAAUACGAGUCACAAGCCAAUGAAAUGUGGCUGAUGAUAUUUGCUGUAGCUUGAAAUUUCCCCCUUUGUUUAUUUAUCUUUUUGAGACAGGGUCUUGCCAUGUAGUUCAGGCUGGACUUGCACUCACUAUGAGCCCCGAUUGAUGUCAGACUAAUGGUGCUCGUCCUGCCUCAGCCUCCUGAGUGAGAUCACAGGUGUGAGCCAACAUGCCUGGCCUUUUAUGGUAUUUCUUUACAAAUAAAAUAUUUCUGAAAUAUUAUGCUCUGAA